AUUGAACGCUGGCGGCAGGCCUAACACAUGCAAGUCGAGCGAGCGGCGGACGGGUGAGUAAGGUCUGGGAAACUGCCCGAUGGAGGGGGAGAACUACUGGAAACGGUAGCUAAUACCGCAUACCAUCGGAUGUGCCCAGAGGGGAUUAGCUAGUAGGUUGGGUAACGGCUCACCUAGGCGACGAUCCCUAGCUGGUCUGAGAGGAUGACCAGCCAGCUUGGAACGUGAACACGGUCCAGACUCCUACGGGAGGCAGCAGUGGGGAAUCUAGCACAAUGGGCGCAAUCCUGAUGCAGCCAUGCCGCGUGUAUGAAGAAGGCCUUCGGGUUGUAAAGUACUUUCAGCGGGAAGGCGUUACCCGCAGAAGAAGCACCGGCUAACUCCGUGCCAGCAGCCGCGGUAAUUC
rnacentral:rRNA from 1 species